rnacentral:rRNA from 1 species
CAGAGGUCCCAAGCGUUGUUCGGAUUCACUGGGCGUAAAGGGUGCGUAGGUGGUAAGGUAAGUCAGGUGUGAAAUCUCCAAGCUCAACUUGGAAACUGCAUUCGAAACUGCCUUGCUAGAGGAUUUGAGGGGGGACUGGAAUACUUGGUGUAGCAGUGAAAUGCGUAGAUAUCAAGUGGAACACCAGUGGCGAAGGCGAGUCCCUGGAAAACUCCUGACACUGAGGCACGAAAGCUAGGGGAGCAAACAGGAUUAGAUACCCUGGUAGUCCUAGCCCUAAACGGUGCUUGCUUGCUGUAAGAGGAAUCGACCCCUCUUGUGGCGGAGCUAACGCGUUAAGCAAGCCGCCUGGGAAGUACGGUCGCAAGAUUA